GCAUUGGUGGUUUAUUGGUAGAAGUCUUGCCUUCCAUGUGGGAGACCUGAGUUCAAUAUUUAGCCAAUGCA
rnacentral:tRNA from 1 species